UAUUUUGGCCAUUGGAAAAUUGAAAAUAGCCAUUGAGAGUGAAAAAUGGCCAUUGGAAGAAAGCUGAAAAAAUAGCUGUUAUGCUGUCGGUGACAGUCUUGUAAUUUUUUUGAAUGAUUGAGCCAGCUCACUCAGACUUUGAGUUGGUUCAAUCACAAAAGUCAGAAAUUCAACAUUCUGUCUUGCUUUCUGUUUGAGAUAG
rnacentral:lncRNA from 1 species